rnacentral:rRNA from 1 species
ACCUGACUGCUAUCGGAUUGAUACUAAGCCAUGCGAGUCAUUGUAGCAAUACAAGGCAUACGGCUCAGUAACGCGUAGUCAACCUAACCUAUGGACGGGAAUAACCUCGGGAAACUGAGAAUAAUUCCCGAUAGAACAUUAUACCUGGAAUGGUUUAUGUUCCAAAUGAUUUAUCGCCAUAGGAUGGGACUGCGGCCUAUCAGUUUGUUGGUGAGGUAAUGGCCCACCAAGACUAUUACAGGUACGGGCUCUGAGAGGAGUAGCCCGGAGAUGGGUACUGAGACACGGACCCAGGCCCUAUGGGGCGCAGCAGGCGAGAAAACUUUGCAAUGUGCGAAAGCGCGACAAGGUUAAUCCGAGUGAUUUCUGCUAAAGAGAUCUUUUGUUAGUCCUAGAAACACUAACGAAUAAGGGGUGGGCAAGUUCUGGUGUCAGCCGCCGCGGUAAAACCAGCACCUCAAGUGGUCAGGAUGAUUAUUGGGCCUAAAGCAUCCGUAGCCGGCUCUGUAAGUUUUCGGUUAAAUCUGUACGCUCAACGUACAGGCUGCCGGGAAUACUGCAGAACUAGGGAGUGGGAGAGGUAGACGGUACUCGGUAGGAAGUGGUAAAAUGCUUUGAUCUAUCGAUGACCACCUGUGGCGAAGGCGGUCUACCAGAACACGUCCGACGGUGAGGGAUGAAAGCUGGGGGAGCAAACCGGAUUAGAUACCCGGGUAGUCCCAGCUGUAAACUAUGCAAACUCAGUGAUGCAUUGGCUUGUGGCCAAUGCAGUGCUGCAGGGAAGCCGUUAAGUUUGCCGCCUGGGAAGUACGUACGCAAGUAUGAAACUUAAAGGAAUUGGCGGGGGAGCACCACAAGGGGUGAAGCCUGCGGUUC